ACAAUUACAUUUGGGUCUAAUCCCCUAGAAAACCCAGGAGGAAGAUACACUGCUGGAAGCGAGUGAUAAAAACCAGACCUCUUCAAAGAUAGUAUGUAUGUGUGUUUAUAUAUGUAAUAUUAUGUGUAUGUGUAUGUAUACAUCCAUAUUUAAAAUAUUAUAAUGGCCUACAGGCUGUGGUCUGGCCAGUUCUAGCAAUAGCUGUUCAUGGGAAGGCCAAGAACCUGGCAGUUGUUCCAUCCACGAGGCUGGUUGUCUCAGCUGGGCUCCCAGAGAAGUCAUGACUUUGCUAGGGAGCGUGAGGGCAAGCUGGCAGAAGGCAUGACCUAGAUUUAGGGAAGACCGUCUUCCGUCUUCAGAUGAUCCAAUCAAGAAGAACCCCUUGCAGGUGUGCCGUGCCCUGUGUGGGUUUCAGUUGACUCCAGGAGGGACACACCGUGUGUUUUUGCUGAAGCUUGGUGCCCAGACUCCCACAACCUGAAGGUGGUCAAGAAAGUCUUCCAACUUGGCCAGCAGUUACACUCCCAAGUUGCAGAGAUCACGGCACAGCACCAUUUGUGAAGUCUGAGGGACGAUCAGGACCCACUGUUCAAAAAGAAACCUUUUGAAGCACAAGAAGAAACCUCCUCAACACCGUAUUUAGCUGUAGGAAAGUGAGUAUUUGUUUAACCAAACAGAUCACAAAGUUGCAAACACUGGAUUUACAAGACAGAUGGUGCACACUUGGCCAUGUAUGUGACACAGUAUAUGAGACACUAAAAAUGGCAGGACAACAAUUAAGCCAGAGGACAAACACUACAAGUGAACAAAGCCACCAAAAUUCAAAGCAGCAGCAAGCAUCAGUUGUUGAGAAAUGUAAAUCAGAGCAACUUAGGCACAGAACACCUCACUCCCCAUGUAGGAGGCUCCUCUUCAAGCUGGGUGGAAGAGCUCAAUGCCAACAGGCCCAGCGGCAUGCUGACACACAACUGCUUUGACCCACGUCUGCUCUGUCCCACCUGCAGGACAUCCUGUGAUGGAAAUGUUGGUCUAGGAUGAACGCCUAGGAGGCUGCAGGACAGGACAGGUCAGAGAGUAAAGUGCAGAAGGAGGACCUGAGUUUGGACCCCUAGCUGUAGUGUAAAGUUUGUCACAAUGGCGCACAUCUAUAAUCCCAGCCAGGGGUGGGCUGGGGAGGAGGACAGGGGAUCCUGGGGACAUGCUUGCCCACGAGCCUGGCUGAAAUCAGUGUAGUGUUGACCACAUGUGUAGACACAGGCUAACAGUGGGCAUGUGUACACACACAUGAAGACAAGCCAGAGGGGAGGUCACUCAGUCUUGUGGCAAUAGAGAAGGAGGUACAGAGCCCAUGAUUCUGAAGUUCAGAGCCGGCAGAAGUUGGCACAACUUUCACCAGAUUCUGAAAUACAUUUUAAACUCGUUCUUGCCAUCCAUGCUCAAAAAGCUUUAAAUAGUUUUUAUUCACCCUCACAAGUGUCUUGUUCUUUUCAUGCUCCUUGUCCCAACAGCAUCUUCAGAUGAAGUAAGCACAAGGAUGGGCAGCCCCAGCUGUGACCGUGUGGCCAAUGACGGGGGCACAGCACAGAACAGCCGCCUCCCCACUUUCAGGGCCUGCUGCAUUUUUCUGUUUAAAUGAGUGCCCAGUGCUCAGGCAGGAGGAGACGCUGGGCAGAUGGGCUGACACGGAAGCCACGUGGCUGUGCUCUGGAGUACACGAGAGCGUGCAAGUCCACUGGUAAGAUCCUUACUCUGCUAAUGUCAUCGGCAGUAAAACUGACAGCUCAGCGCACACUGUCUGCAGCUCAGAGCCUAGAGGGUCCUGACUGUUGUCUAUGCUCGGCCCAGGGACUGG
rnacentral:sRNA from 1 species